rnacentral:rRNA from 1 species
AUUGAACGCUGGCGGCAUGCUUUACACAUGCAAGUCGAACGGCAGCGCGGGCUUCGGCCUGGCGGCGAGUGGCGAACGGGUGAGUAAUGCAUCGGAACGUGCCCAGUAGUGGGGGAUAGCCCGGCGAAAGCCGGAUUAAUACCGCAUACGACCUGAGGGUGAAAGCGGGGGACCGAAAGGCCUCGCGCUAUUGGAGCGGCCGAUGUCGGAUUAGCUAGUUGGUGGGGUAAAGGCUUACCAAGGCGACGAUCCGUAGCUGGUCUGAAAGGACGACCAGCCACACUGGGACUGAGACACGGCCCAGACUCCUGCGGGAGGCAGCAGUGGGGAAUUUUGGACAAUGGGGGCAACCCUGAUCCAGCCAUGCCGCGUGCGGGAAGAAGGCCUUCGGGUUGUAAACCGCUUUUGUUCGGGAAGAAAUCCUCUGGGCUAAUACCCCGGGGGGAUGACGGUACCGGAAGAAUAAGCACCGGCUAACUACGUG